AACGAACGCUGCGGCAUGCCUAACACAUGCCAGUCGGACGAGACCUUCGGGUCUAGUGGCGCACGGGUGCGUAACGCGUGGGAACCUGCCCUUAGGUUCGGAAUAACUCCCCGAAAGGGGUUCUAAUACCGGAUAAUGUCUUCGGACCAAAGCUUUAUCGCCUUUGGAUGGGCCCGCGUUGGAUUAGCUAGUUGGUAGGGUAAAAGCCUACCAAGGCGACGAUCCAUAGCUGGUCUGAGAGGAUGAUCAGCCACACUGGGACUGAGACACGGCCCAGACUCCUACGGGAGGCAGCAGUGGGGAAUAUUGGACAAUGGGCGAAAGCCUGAUCCAGCAAUGCCGCGUGAGUGAUGAAGGCCUUAGGGUUGUAAAGCUCUUUUACCCGGGAUGAUAAUGACAGUACCGGGAGAAUAAGCUCCGGCUAACUCCGUG
rnacentral:rRNA from 1 species